GACGAACGCUGGCGGCGUGCUUAACACAUGCAAGUCGAACGGAAAGGCCCUGCUUGCAGGGUACUCGAGUGGCGAACGGGUGAGUAACACGUGGGUGAUCUGCCCUGCACUUCGGGAUAAGCCUGGUAAACUGGGUCUAAUACCGGAUAGGAGCCAUUUUUAGUGUGAUGGUUGGAAAGUUUUUUCGGUGUAGGAUGAGCUCGCGGCCUAUCAGCUUGUUGGUGGGGUAAUGGCCUACCAAGGCGGCGACGGGUAGCCGGCCUGAGAGGGUGGACGGCCACAGUGGGACUGAGAGACGGCCCAGACUCCGACGGGAGGGAGAAGUGGGGAAGAUUGAACAAGGGGCGCAAGCCUGAUGCAGCGACGCCGAGUGGGGGAUGACGGCCUUCGGGUUGUAAACGCAAUGCGCUAGGGACGAAGCUUUUUGUGACGGUACCUAGAUAAGAAGCACCGGCUAACUACGUG
rnacentral:rRNA from 1 species